AGCGUAGGUGGAUAUUUAAGUGGGAUGUGAAAUACUCGGGCUUAACCUGGGUGCUGCAUUCCAAACUGGAUAUCUAGAGUGCAGGAGAGGAAAGUAGAAUUCCUAGUGUAGCGGUGAAAUGCGUAGAGAUUAGGAAGAAUACCAGUGGCGAAGGCGACUUUCUGGACUGUAACUGACACUGAGGCUCGAAAGCGUGGGGAGCAAACAGGAUUAGAUACCCCCGUA
rnacentral:rRNA from 1 species